GCAUUUGAAUAAUUCUGCAUGUGCAUUUGAAUAAUUCUGCAUGCUACAGCCUGGGCAUUAUUUGUUCUUUUAGCAUUUCUGAAGUAUUUCUAUUAUUUUGCAUAUAUCGGUCACUUCAUUUCUUUUUGAUUUGUGUUUGCUACGACCCAAAGCUGAUGUACUACUAUUAUGUGUGAUUGUGAAGAACAGUAAAAUUCUAUGUCAUGGUCCCAUCAUGUGAAUUUUCAUGUGAAUUUUAGGCUGCUGGCUGGAGGUGAAUAAGUGGAAUUUUGUCAAUAAUACGAGUCUCUGUUCAUUCUUCCUCCUGCAGGUAUAUGGCACAAAUCUUUUAAAUCUUUUAUUAACAAUUUUUAUUCUCAUGUCUAAUGCGCUUUUGGUCAAAAUAUUCUUGGGAGGAUUUCCCCUCAUAUUUCGGCUGAGAGUGCAUUAGACACAAAGAAAUGAUUUUGGGUAAGCGAUCCAUGGAUUGGAUUGGGUCUAAACAGGGUGAUGGUACACCCCGCAGUCAUUUUUGCUUGAAUUUAACCUUCUUGGUGUCUUUCUCGAAAACAAUGUUGGUGUCGUCUUCUGUGUUUUUCAUGUGCUAUGACCUAAGCUCUGUUCACUUUAUCAUUCUUUUAGGGGAAAAAAUGAAAAAUGAAAAACAAAAUAGUCAUUCCCUGUGAGGAACUGUGAAUUUAGUUUAGUUACCAAAGGCAAAGCCUUGUAUAUAUAUACAUAUCUGAGAUAUAUUUUAUGAACAAUACUUCCAUAUCAUUGUAAUUUGUUUUUCACCAUUGGUGGUAAAGGUGUGGUGGUUUGAGGUGCUGAAUUAGAUUGAUUGGGAUUAUGAGUAUGAUUGAGCAAUGUAAGAUUAUUAGUGUAAAGUAGUAUUAAGUUGGAGAUGUAACAUAAAUUGUGUUUGUUUGUAUACUAUUGUUUUGGUAUUAGUUGGUUGUGAUUAAAAUUAUGAAAUUAUUAGAAGUUUUUCUUAUACGAGAAGUUUAUGUUUUUGUUUCUGUAA